GGGAAUCAGGGUUCGAUUCCGGAGAGGGAGCCUGAGAAACGGCUACCACUUCCAAGGAAGGCAGCAGGCGCGCAAAUUACCCAAUCCCGGCACGGGGAGGUAGUGACGAAAAAUACGGAUACGGGACUCAUCAGAGGCUCCGUAAUUCGAAUGAGUACACUUUAAAUCCUUGUACGAGGAUCAACUGGAGGGCAAGUCUGGUGCCAGCAGCCGCGGUAACUCCAGCUCCAGAAGCGUAUAUUAAAGUUGUUGCAGUUAAAAAGCUCGUAGUUGGAUCUGGGUCGCAUGGCUACAUGCUGCGCUCGUAUUUCCAAUCUGGUUACGACUGGAGCGGAUUUGUGAGUCAGUGUCGUGGUUGUGCAGCCUUUCUGCCGUGUCUGGUUUCCAGGUGCUGGCUAUCAGUGGGUUCGUCUCGCUGUUUAGUUGGCAUGCUUCUCGAUGCCUUUCAACGGGUGUCGGAUGCGGACGGCACGUUUACUUUGAACAAAUUUGAGUGCUCAAAGCAGGCCACAGAGCCUGAAAAUUCUUGCAUGGAAUAAUGAAAUAGGACUUCGGUUCUAUUUUGUUGGUUUUCGGAUCCGAAGUAAUGGUUAAGAGGGACAGACGGGGGCAUUUGUAUGGCGGUGUUAGAGGUGAAAUUCUUGGAUCGCCGCCAGACAAACUACAGCGAAAGCAUUUGCCAAGGAUGUUUUCAUUGAUCUGGAGCGAAAGUCAGAGGUUCGAAGACGAUCAGAUACCGUCCUAGUUCUGACCAUAAACGAUGCCAACUGACGAUCCGCGGUGGUUCUUUUAUUGUCCCCGCGGGCAGUCCCCGGGAAACCUUUAAGUCUUUGGGCUCCGGGGGAAGUAUGGUUGCAAAGCUGAAACUUAAAGGAAUUGACGGAAGGGCACCACCAGGAGUGGAGCCUGCGGCUUAAUUCGACUCAACACGGGAAAUCUCACCCGGCCCGGACACCGUGAGGAUUGACAGAUUGAAAGCUCUUUCUUGAUUCGGUGGUUGGUGGUGCAUGGCCGUUCUUAGUUGGUGGAGCGAUUUGUCUGGUUAAUUCCGAUAACGAACGAGACUUUGGCCUGCUAAAUAGUAAGCCUGUCCUGUGUGCUCGUGCGGGUGACGGUGCUCAUUGCCCUUCGAGGCGGUGGUGUCGUUCGCCGGCGGGUGCUGCGCAGGUGUUUACUUCUUAGAGGGACAAGCGGCGAGACAGUCGCACGAAAAUGAGCAAUAACAGGUCUGUGAUGCCCUUAGAUGUCCGGGGCCGCACGUGCGCUACAAUGACGGUUUCAGCGAGUUUGGAAACCUGGCCUGAGAGGGUUGGGCAAACUGAAUCAUCACCGUCGUGACUGGGAUCGGGGCUUGCAAUUAUUCCCCGUGAACGAGGAAUUCCUGGUAAGUGCAAGUCAUAAGCUUGCGCUGAUUAC
rnacentral:rRNA from 1 species